CCUACGGGAGGCAGCAGUGAGGCAUAUUGGUCAAUGGGCGCGAGCCUGAACCAGCCAAGUAGCGUGAAGGAUGACUGCCCUACGGGUUGUAAACUUCUUUUAUAAAGGAAUAAAGUGCGGCACGUGUUCCUUUUUGUAUGUACUUUAUGAAUAAGGAUCGGCUAACUCCGGGCCAGCAGCCGCGGUUAUACGGAGGAUCCGAGCGUUAUCCGGAUUUAGUGGGUUUAAAGGGAGCGUAGAUGGGUUGUUAAGUCAGUUGUGAAAGUUUGCGGCUCAACCGUAAAAUUGCAAUGGAUACUGGCAGCCUUGAGUACAGUUGAGGUAGGCGGAAUUCGUGGUGUAGCGGUGAAAUGCUUAGAUAUCACGAAGAACACCGAUGGCGAAGGCAGCUUACUAAACUGCCACUGACAUUGAGGCUCGAAAGUGUGGGUAUCAAACAGGAUUAGAUACCCGAGUAGUC
rnacentral:rRNA from 1 species